GUAGGUGGCAAGCGUUGUCCGGAGUUAUUGGGCGUAAAGCGCGCGCAGGCGGUUCUUUAAGUCUGAUGUGAAAGCCCACGGCUCAACCGUGGAGGGUCAUUGGAAACUGGAGAACUUGAGUACAGAAGAGGAAAGCGGAAUUCCACGUGUAGCGGUGAAAUGCGUAGAGAUGUGGAGGAACACCAGUGGCGAAGGCGGCUUUCUGGUCUGUAACUGACGCUGAGGCGCGAAAGCGUGGGGAGCAAACAGGGAUUAGAUACCCUGGUAGUCCACGCCGUAAACGAUGAGUGCUAAGUGUUAGGGGGUUUCCCGCCCCUUAGUGCUGCAGCUAACGCAUUAAGCACUCCGCCUGGGGAGUACGGCCGCAAGGCUG
rnacentral:rRNA from 1 species